UACGGAGGGUGCGAGCGUUGUCCGGAUUUAUUGGGUUUAAAGGGCGCGUAGGCGGUCAGCACAAGUCAGUUGUGAAAUCUCCGGGCUUAACUCGGAAAGGUCAACUGAUACUGUGCGACCAGAGUGCAGAAGGGCAACUGGAAUUCUCGGUGUAGCGGUGAAAUGCGUAGAUAUCGUUUGGAACGCCAAAGGUGAAAACAGACAGCUGGGAGUGUGCUGACGCUGAGACACGAAAGCCAGGGAGCGAACGGG
rnacentral:rRNA from 1 species